CCUACGGGAGGCUGCAGUGGGGAAUAUUGGACAAUGGGCGAAAGCCUGAUCCAGCCAUGCCGCGUGUGUGAAGAAGGCCUUCGGGUUGUAAAGCACUUUCAGUGGGGAAGAAAGCCUUGGGGCUAAUACCCUCGAGGAAGGACAUCACCCACAGAAGAAGCACCGGCUAACUCCGUGCCAGCAGCCGCGGUAAUACGGAGGGUGCGAGCGUUAAUCGGAAUUACUGGGCGUAAAGCACGCGUAGGCGGUCUGAUAAGCCGGUUGGGAAAGCCCCGGGCUCAACCUGGGAACGGCAUCCGGAACUGUCAGGCUAGAGUGCAGGAGAGGAAGGUAGAAUUCCCGGUGUAGCGGUGAAAUGCGUAGAGAUCGGGAGGAAUACCAGUGGCGAAGGCGGCCUUCUGGACUGACACUGACGCUGAGGUGCGAAAGCGUGGGUAGCAAACAGGAUUAGAUACCCGGGUAGUC
rnacentral:rRNA from 1 species